GGCGGGGGCUGCGGCCGCGCGCGGGCCCCUCGGAAGGUCUAGGCUAGGCUGAGCGGGUUAGCCGUGCGCUGUCUUAGCCUCGCGACGGUCAAUAGGUUGCCUGGCCACGCCUUUUGGCCCCGGGUAGGCCCUAGGUCCCGCUGCUUGUCCAUCUCUGUCCCUGGGUUGCACUUGGAGGAGACCCUGCCUCUACCCUCCCUCCUCUCCUCUGCAGACCUCCAUUCUGGUUGCCCCUUUCCCCACUGUGUCCCAAGAUGACUGGUGCUUGUUUGCAUCCUGGAGGAGAUUUGGCCUCCUUCAGCCGGUUGCACUUGGCCUUUACCCCCUACCUCCAUUCCUCCUGAGGGACAUUUCCUUUCUCCACCCCCCACCCCCACCUCCCGAUUUCUCUCUGCAGUGGCCGGUGUGGGGCCCUGUGGAAAAACCCUAGCUGCCUCUUCUUAAAGCACUCCUUCCUUUCACGCCCCUCCUCCUUCUGCAGCCCCAGCCCCUGCAAACACCGCUGCUCCACACCGCUGCCCUCCUUGAAGGAAAAAAAUGACUUUUUUUUUUCUUUCCGGAAUAGCUGUGCCCUUUUCGCAGUGACAGGGAAAAAAUGAGAUGGUAUCUAAUGGCAGCAAGCGUUUGAUGUUAACUCUCACCUCUGGAAAAUCACUGAGCCACUUGGGCACCUAUUCUGUUUUUCAUGUAAUUUCUGUUUACAUCCAGGAUGCAAGCUUGGCCUCAAGGCCCUUUUCCCUCCUUCUGUAAAGUCCUAGUGUGUCAGGUUGAUCUCUCAACUUGCCAAGGAACCUUAGUUGUCUGCCUCACUGUAUAACCACAUAGAGUACCUCACUGACUGGAUACCCUACCUUUACCUUAACUGUCUACCUCACUGUCCACCUCACUGACUGAUUGCUUCACUAUUUAUAUCACUGCCUCUCUGACUAUGUUAACUCUUUACCUCACUGACUGCCUUCCUUGUCUACCUUAUGACCUCACUGUCUACCCCACUGCCUGGCUGCCUCACUGAUAGCCUGUUUACAUCAGACUCUCAUUGACUUCCUAUAUGGUCUGCCUCACUGACUAUCUUACUGUCUUCCCCUCAUUGACAGGCUACCUCACCAACUGGCUACUCCUGCUGUCUCCCCUCAUUGUCUGCUCCACUGACUGGGUACCUCACUGGCUACUUCACUAUUUCCCUUUCCCACUACCUGGCUACCUCACUAGCUCCUCAACUGGAUUUCUUCUCUGUCUGACUACACUGACAUGGUUCCAUGGUUAGCUCAGUGCCUUCUCUGUUUAUCUCCCUGUCUACCUUAUCAUGUACCUCACCGAUUACCUUCAGUGCUUACCUAACUGCCUGACUGCUGUUGUUUACGUCAUUCUCUCACUGUCUGCUGACUGUCUCAGUGUCUACCACUUAUUGCCUAUCUCUGUCUACUUAUGGAAUACCUCACUAUAACUGCCUCACUAAACCGAUUACCUUCACUGUCUGCUCACUGUCUCGCCCUCUGCCUCACUGAUUACCGUAGCUGUUCUCAUUGACUGUCUCUGUUUACCUCAGUGCUUCCCACCUCACUGUCUACUUGAAUGUCUGCUGAUAGUCUCACUGUCUCCUGACUGCAUGACUGACUACUUUAACUGUCUACCUCACCGUCUACCUCACUUACUGACCACCAUCAGUGUUUACCUCACUGGCUACCCCAAGAAACCACUGAAACCUUAGUCACUCUGUGUCCUCCGACUUAAACCUGCUUCAGUAUGAUCUGGAACCAAUGACUUUGCCAGUGACAGCGUUUGCAAGGGAAACAAAUUUUUAGUAGAGCCUACACAAGGAUGAAUCCUUUCAGUAUAUUUUCUCUGAGAAGACUGCCCUAGAAUGUUUUCUAUGUCAAGUAGAUUUUAGGCCUCAGCAUCUCAGCUAAUAAAGCUGGGCUCCGGUUAGACAUGAGAAGUUUGUGUUUUGAAUAUUUUCUUCAUAUCUCUAUUCUGAGUCUUCAGAACAUCUCAGAAAGCAAUGAAUUGAAUUAAAACGUUGUCCUAGAGUUGACAGGCAGGGUCAGGGAGAAGUGACAGUGGGUCUUGAUUUUUCUGCUCGUCCCAUGGUUGUUGACUAGUGUUCCUAGUCACUGGUUCAUGCCAGUGACCAUUACUCCAGCCGCAUUUAUCUGCAGAUAAUGUUUCCUGCUGAUAAAAAAUUACGAGCCGGAGGAUAAGUCAGAAUAUUCUCAAAAUAAGUCUUAAAGUCGAAAAUUUUAACCCUUUCCCUAAAUCGGUGCUGAAUCAAAGUGGGUUUGGUAUUGAGAAUACAGUUUUUCAAUCUGUUGGAGGCUGGUGUGAACAGUGAGGGGAGACAGGCAUAAAGUCCGAGAGGAAUCUUGAACUGUUAACGGGUUUUAUGCAGCAUGUGUCUAAUCACUAGGCAUCUGUCUGAACAAGCUGGAGUUAUUGUCUCCUUGUCUUAUGCAUGUGAAUGUGGGCAGUGAGGAUGUUGGUGUCACGUUAAAUUUUCUGAGCGAAUUCUAAUGUGACCCAUCCCAUUAGUUGGAAGUAAGCUCUUGUGACCAGUGAAGGUAAAGUUCAGUCAGUCAUUCUUAGCGUCAGUAUAAUCCCCCUUCCCAUUUAGCCAAAUUCAACUGUGAUGUGCAAAGUUAAGUCUAUGUUUUGGGACAAACUAGGAAGUGUAGAUUUAGCUUCUAGAAUUUAAUGGGAUGCUGUAUUAGCCCCACACCCUAUCUUAAUUUAACUUUCCAGAGUCUUCCCUGCUAAGAGAUUACCGAAGAUGUCUGUUUUUACUGUGACUAACAUUCAGAUCGGAAUUUCUCUUUAUGUAACUCACAGAGUUACAGUAUUAAAAGACAGGCUAAUUCUCUAUUGCUGCAUUUCAAAGGCAGCAUUUACUGAGGAAGGAUUUUCAUCUUUUAUUUUUGGACUGACUUUGCUUGAAAUGCUCUGAGAACAAGGCCUGCUCAUUAAUACCUGCUAGGCAUGUUGCUCGUAUUGAAACCAUCCACACGGAAGAGCUUGCGAGAAAGGUUUUCAGUCUUUUCUUGUUUUCACCUCUUGGCAAACGGUUGCUUGUCAACAUAUAUAAGCACACAUCGACUCAGUCCUUUCCUGCAGGUCUUCGGGGUGCUAGUUAUUCCCUGUAUCACAUUUGUGACCUAAAUUGUGCUAUUUCAUGUGGUCACAUAGCAUCCAGGUUAAGGUUAGGAAGUCCAUCAUUUGAUUUGGGCCAUGUUUCUAAGAAAAGAUGUCAGUGAAGUUGUACAUUGUCAAAACCAAUUCCAUUAAACAUUGAAUAGUUGCUUCUCCUCCCCCCCUUUUUUUCUUUCUGUUUUAAAAUGUAAAAUUCAAGGAGUCUGCUUGGAGAGAGAAGUGUCUAUUUAAGAAUAUGUAGUUUCUUCUUGUGUUAUAUUUCCUGUCAAGAUGGUACACACUUGACAUCUCUGUCAUGCCAAGCCCAGCUUGGAGCAAGGAAAAGUAGCUGUGUCUUAGUUAGAGUUACUGUUGCUCUGAUGAAACUUGGGGAGGAAAGGCUUACAUAUGCUGAAUGAGAGAUAGUCCAGGGAGGGAAGCCAACGUAGGAACUGGGGUGGGGGCAAGAGCUAAUGGAAGAAGAGGCUGCUGACUGCAAGAGGCUCAGCUUGCUUGCUUGUUUGUUUGUUUGCUUUUUUUCCUUUUUUUCUUUUUUUCCUUCUUUUUUGAGACAGGGUUUCUCUGUAACAACCCUUGGCUGUCCUGGAACUCAUUUUGUAGACCAGGCUGGCUUUGAACUCUCAGAGAUCUUUCUGCUUCUGCCUCCCAGGUACUGGGAUUAAAGGCAUGAGCCUCAGCCUGCUUUCUUAUAGCAUCCAGGACCACAGCACAGGGUUGACACCACCCACAACUGGCUGGAUCCUCCCACAUCGAAUUAAGAAAAUGCCCUAUAGGCCUGCUUGCUACCUUGAUAGCCAACUGAGGCAGUUUCUCAUUUAAGGCUCCCUGCUCUCAUGGGACUAUAGCCUAUAUCAAGUUGACAUAAAACUAGCCAGCCCAAGCUGUGUUUGAAGUGAUUUGGUAUGGUGAACCUGCUUCUGGAGCAUAUCGGAGUGUGACCGAGGUCUAUUUAGUGCAGGCUUUCCUGGCACUAAUUGCUGAACAUGUAGCUUCUGGUGUAGCUGUUCUUCAGGUGCUUCUCCCUGGGGAUAAUGGGUGUGUGAGUCAGUCCUAGGGUCAAGUCACUCCAGACUACUUCAGCCCAGCAAGCUGGUGCUAGAAAGUGAGACAAUUUUCUUGAAGGCUUUUGGCACUUGGAGCUGUGUGAUUGAGUGUACAUGUCUCUUGGCCGUGUUGAAGUCUUUCCUCAGCAUCUUGGUCUUGCCUUUGGCUCCAUCUUCAGAGAGAGCCCUGUGGAGGUUGUCAUAAAAAAGACGUCACGUUAGUUUUGGAGGGACAAACAGCGAUGGAUAAAGCAUGCUUGCAUUGCCCCAGUUCCUGGUUAGGGUUGGAUGGGGAAGGUGUGGGAUACUUGUUUUCAGCCAGGGAAGAGUACUUGAAGUAAAUACUGAGAUUGUGGAAUGACAGUGACAGUGGAAGAAAGACUGAGAAAUAAUAGGAUGAGAAAUAUAUCAAAUUCUGUCUUAUAUGGGUUUCAUCCAAUUUAAAACUUACACCCAUUUUACAGAUGGAGUAGGGUCAGAGGGGGUAUGUGACCUCUGCCACUGGUAGAGAGAAGUUUUGGCACUAUCUCAAUAAUGGCAAUGUUGGUCCCACUUUCUGCCCUAUGGGGUGCUCCCUGAUUGAAGACCCUGGCAGCUGGAGUGCCCCCGUGACUUUGCUUCCCUCUGAGACUUUGCUCUUACAACUACUCAGAAGUGGGCUUGUGGUACCCUUGAGGCUCUGGGACCCCUUGGUAGUUGCUGUAGUUCUGUCACCCUGCCCCUUUAGUCCCGUGCUUUAGAUCUCAUUGGAAUUGAGGCAGAGUUUCAAGCCUUGUAGCUGAUGAUGACAUCAGAUGUGACACAUAGCUGAGGGCUUGUAUUGAGAACAUUAUUUUCAGCAGUCUCUCCAACUCUUUUUUCAGGGUUGAUAUCUUCCUGGCUUGAGAGACCAUGCCAGGUUUGACCCUCUCUGAGCCACCAUUCAUACCUAUGGUCCUCUCUCUACAAGCUCUCCCUGUUUAUUGGUCUUUGUUGAUCUGUUUGGUAUACCUCAGGGUUACAAAGUAACAAAGUACUCACUUGCCAGCCUAAGCUAUGCAUCAAGCUCACCCCAAAGUCAGAUAUUUAGCUCCAUCCUGGGAAAUUUUGGUCUGUGAGUUCUGAGAUUGGGACUGCUCCAAGAAAAAUAUAAAGGACUGGAGGGAUGGCUCAGCUGUUGUGAGCACUUGCUGCUUUUCUAGAGGAUCAGAGUUCAGUUUCUAGAACCUAUGUCAAGUGGCUUAUAACCUCCUGCAACAUACAUGCGAACAAAACACCCAUACACAAUAAGUGAAAACAGUUCUUUUUGAGACAAGUCUUACUGUGUAACCUUGGUUGACCUGCAACUCACUAUGUAGACUAGACUGGUCUCAAACUCAAUGGAGAGCCAUCUCCUCCUGCUUUCUGAGUGAUUGAUUAAAGGCAUGUGCUACUAUGAUCAGUGAAAAAAAAAACUUAAAAGAACCUUAAUAUCUUGAAAGUCUAGGUUUCCAGCAAGUUCCCCCAGCUGUUCUUGGGGGUGGAGGGGAGAACACAAUUGUAUCAUCUGAUUCACACAGUAUUUACAGAGUAGUUUUCAAGGGAAGAGGGGGUAAAUUCUAGAUAAUUUAGAGGGUUUUUUUUUUUUUGGUAAAUUUAUGCCCUACACAGAUUAGGUUUAUCGAGAUAGAAUUAUGAAAGGGGCUCUGUGGAUGGUUUUAGAAGUUUUUACAAAGAUGUAUUUAUUAAUACAUCUUUCUUGUGUAUUAAUGUUUAUCCUGUGUGUUAUGUAUGUACACUGUGUGCUUGUACAGAGGCCAGAAGGGGGCGCCAGAACCUCUGGAACUGGAGUUAUGGAAGGUUGUAAGCCACUAUGUGGUGCUGGGAACUGAAUCUCAGGUCUUUGGCAAGAGAAGUCAGUGUUCUUUAGUGAUGAAGUGUUUCUCCACCCUCUGUAGGAGAUUUAUAAUGGAACGUUGGUAUUUAAACAGUAGUCAGCUAGGGUUUUUUAAAACCUUGAAUGGGGUUGAUGAAAAUGUUAGUUAUGUUUUAAUGAAAUAAUUGCUGGUGCCUUAUAGUGCGCUUAAAAUUCUGAUGUUGUUGUGGAGACAUUUGACACUCAAAUGUGGUAAAAUUACUCUGGUGACUCUGAAUUUUCUUUGGAGUUUUGAAAUAAGUUAGGAUCUUUAUUUGAACACUAUGGUGAUUCUCAUUCUAGAAAAUCACAAACUACAAAUACCAGUACUAUGGGGGAAAAGAGCAAACAGAUGACCUAAAACUGCUAAGCUUGCAACUAGGCAAGUAGUAAAAAUCAUGCCACAUAUAUAUAUAUAUAUAUAUAUAUAUAUAUAUAUAUAUAUAUAUUAAGGCUAACAUUCCAUAGGCCUUUCUUUGGGCUGCAUGCCCAGGUAAUUCUAGGUCUUCAUUAGUUUUCAUAUGUAGAAUCCUUUUUAAAAAAUUAAAACUGUGUGUGUGUUUAUGUUUGCAUAUGAUGUAUGGGAAGGGGUGCACAUACGACAAGAUGCACACAGAGGUCAGAGAAUAAAUGUGGGGAAUUAGUUCUCUUCUUUCAUCAUUUGAAUUCUGGGGAUUAAACACAGGUUGCAAGGCUUGGUAGCAGGUACCUCUAUCUGCCAAUCCAUCUUGCUGGCCCUAUCGGAAGGCGUUUAUUUGAUAAGAUUCUCAGCAUUUUUUUGGAAAGUAGUCUUCUUCUUUGCCAUCAUUCUCAAAAUUUGCAACAACACUGAUGGUUGCAGAACUUGCUAAGAAUGGGCUUCAGACAAUGCCACUUCCCCAUGUGCUGCUGUUCCCACCUUGAAGUCACACAUGGAGGAACUUGUGGUUACAGACGUGUAUACAUAUUUGAAUUGAGAGAUGUUAAGGUACAGCCAUUGAAAUGUCAAGGUUCGACUGUAGUGUACUAGCUUGGGAGACAGGGUACAGUGUUCCAAAGUUAAAUGAAAAUGAUUACUUUUUAAGUGCUUAGUUGGCCCUUGCAUAUAGUAAGGAAGCAAAGAGGGGCUGGUUUCAUCCCCUGUUAAGUGUCUGCUUCUGUGACCUCGCCACUGGAUGAGAAGUGAUCUGCUGAAUAGUGCUCCUGGAGCCUGGAGUGGUUUGGGAAUUUGCUUCAUUUGUUAUGUGGUUAUAGUGAGGGUUUAUAUUAAAAUUCAUCUGAGCAUACAGUAAACAAAAAGAGCAACAGUAGCCAGUUGUCAGGGAAAAGACUGAUGGGUAGAAUAAACAGACUGCUUUCUGCAAUAUAAACAAUCUGUUUUCGUGAUUUUUUUUUCCCUUUACUUUUUUUUUUUUUUUUGAAGGAUGAGUAGAACCUCCAAAUUAGGAAGUUACUUAAGUGGGAGACAGCAGAUCUGCCUGUAUGUUAAUCUCUCUUAGUUUCUGCACUAACGAAGACAAAACCUUAGCAGCUAAAUACAGCAGGAACGCAUGACCUGCUGCUGUGGUCCUGGCUGCAGGUGGUCUUGACUGGUUGUGACCUUGACAUUUCUCUGGCAUUUGGGUCCCUCAGCCUGCAGAACAUCCAGCCAUAGAUAGGAGAGAAUGGGCCUCUUUCUUCAACCUCUGAUUUGUGACUACUUCAUAUAGAUAACCAGUCUCAGAAGUGAACCCAGUGGACACAACUAGGUCAAGAAUGGCUGGCACACCAUGCCAAGAAGAAUUUGCAUUAUGGUAGAAUGAGGCCAAGAAAGAAAUAACUAUACUUAAACCAUCUUACUCUUCAGAUUACAGUGGCAAAUGCAUGUUUAUAUGAGAGAGAGGGAUGGAUACAGUCAAUGUGUACUGUAUGUAAUUGUCAAAGAAUUAAUAAAAUAUAGGAGUAUAGGAAAGCAUUGCCUUUCGUGGUUGUUGUAAAGUUUUCUUUUGGUUACUGCAUGUGUGGGUGUGCAUGCACUGUGAUGUGCCUGUAGAGGUCGGAGAACAACUGUUGGGAUUUGGUUUUCUCUUUCCAUUGUGGGAUCCAGGGAGUGACCUCAGGUCACCAGGCUUGUGUGGCAGGCACUGUUAUCUGCUGAGCCAUCUCACCUGUCUACUGUUUUCUGAGACAAGGUCUGCCUUGCAACCCAGCUGGCCUGGAACUCAGUGCAUAGGCCAGCCUGGAUUCAGACUUGUGGGCGAUUUUCCUGAUUGUGCCUCCCAAAUGCUGCGAUUGUAGUCCUGCUCCACCGUACCUGGUUUUGAGAUUGCCUUUUACAUUUUUGUUUCUGGCUUUAGUUCAAGGAGCAACAAAGUUUCUCUAAAAAGAAGAAGUUGGGGGCCCUGUUGAUCAUCCAUUGUACAGUUCCCCUUAAAAAUGUAUAGUCACUCGUGCCUGCUGGGUCUGGAAAAUAAUUAGCUAUUAAAUUUUUAAAACUAAAGAGCUAGGUUUAAUGAUUUGAAGCCUGAGCCAUCCUAAAUAUACCUAAAUUCAAAUGUACUGAGACAUCCUGCUUCUUACUUUGACAUGUUCAUCCUAUCUAUCUAUCUAUCUAUCUAUCUAUCUAUCUAUCUAUCUAUCUAUCUAUCUAUUUUCUGGAACCCACCAAGUAGGCUGCCGGUGAGCUUCAGGCAUCUAGCUGUCUCUGUUUCUCCAGUGUUGGAAUUACAAGUGUGUGCCACCAUGCUUGACUUUUUCCUUUGGGGGACUCAGGUCCCCAUGCUUACUGUACACUUAGCUGACCAGGCUGUCUUCCCAGCCCCUAGUGAUACUUUAUUGUAGAGUUAUGGCACUAUACCUAGACUUGUCAGUGUUUCAAGUUUUGAAACAGUUCAUCUGGUUUAGAAAAGGUUGAGUUCUGACUCUUAACUAAUGUCACUUUAAUUCUCUUCAUUCUAUGGGACUUUAAUUGGACCCAGGCUCUUUAAAGUGGUUUUAUUUCUGUCUGCUAAUAUUAUAGAUCACCAAAUAUAUUACGUAGAAAAACUUGUAAAAUUAUAGUUAGAUUUGGAACUUUUUAUAUACUAAAAUAUUCUGGAUACUAUUCGAUAUCUGUGUUAGUAACUCUUGGGGAUGGCUUAAAAUUAUCUGAAAAUUCCUUACAAAGGUGUUAAUUACCUACGUGUGACUUAAGUGUAGAACUAAUGCACUGUUGAAAUAGUCAGUUGUGUUUUAGAAGUUCAUAGUCAAGUCCAAAAGAUAUUUAAAAAACAGGCACCUACCAUUCCAGAAAGGAAGUUUUUAACUGCUGUUGAAAAGCACCCUCUCUACUAAUUCUCUACUAAUAAUAGGUUACAUUUUCUGUGAUUCUUAAAUGGCCUUUAAAACUGGGUCACUGACACAUGAAAAUAAUAACUAUAUAUUUACUUAGUAGCUAUUUAAUAAUUAAAAUUCCUUUAUGUAAUAUACCACCAAUGAGCCCACAUAGGGCUCUAGAUGAAAAUUCUUGUUUCUUUUAAGAAGUCAAUUUGUGACCUAUGUGGGUAAUAAGAUCUUCUCAGAUAUGAGGGUCAACUGCAAAUUACAUAAUGAGAGUAGCAAACAUAUACCAGAAAUUUUGGCAGAUUGUGGUAACAUGUAAGGUAGGAAACAUUCAUUGCAGGAAUUAGGGUCCUUGUAAAAAGUAUUUUACAAGGUCUUGUUGUGUCAUGCAUUGGGGGAGUGGGUAGGACAGGCCAGAAAUUGAGACCCAUUUUUGUGCUUUAGAUAUAAAUUACAGUGGGGGUAAGCUGCAGGCUGUAGUCUUGUCUUAUAUACAUAAAAGAAAGAUGGUUCAUGAGACGGGACUUGAAUUUGCAUGGCUGUUUGCUGGCACACAGAUAGGUGCUGUGUUUUGGAAGGAAGUCAGAAUGCUCAUUAGUCUGGUAGAUGAAGGAAGUGUAGUGUAUGGAGCCAAAGAACCAUGAUUACUUCCGGAGUGAAAUAGUAGAUUAUUAGAAUUUUAAAAAGGGGUUUGAAUACUCACCCAGAUUUGAAAUGAGUAUAUAUUAUGAACAAACUCAUUUUCUUUCUCCUUGUCUUAGAGGAGAGGCUAAAUCACCUUGCAUGUAUGAGACCACUUUGCUGUCCCACAAGGUGGCUAUGAGGUUUUGAGAAGGUUGUAGUAGCUCAUGGCUGGAUAUUUUCCUUCCUUCUCUGCUUGACUGGCAUUCAUGGAAUAGGGUCAUGAGAAGACCCGAUGAACUUGCUGGAGACUUGAGGGGAGAGCUGUAAUUGGAAGCACACUCCAGUCAGGGUAUCUGCUCAGUGGUCAGUGUCACCUCCAAGGCGAUUAAGCAGCAACUGAAGAAGGCACUUUGUGUUCCUUGCAAGUUGCAGGCACUUUGUUCUUGUAUCAAAGAACAGAACAGAAUACCUAAUUAUAAUAAUCUUGUAAUAAUUACAAUAUUUUGCAUUCAUUUUCUCUUAAGAGUCUAUUUGAGUAAGUACUAGCCUUCAGAGGCUGUUGGCAAAUAGUGUUUAGGCAGCCGCUGGCAGCUCCGGUGUCGAGCGUGGAGCGCCCUGCUGCAGGAAGGUUUAGUUGGUCAGACACUUGAUUUCUUUGCUGCUGCACAACUGUUUUGGGAAGGGGUGUACAGCACAGGCUUUUACACUUGUUGUGAAUAUGUGGAGUGUUGCUCGCCAUCUGGGAGAAGAGUGAGUGCUGAACUCCCAAGAGUGGUGGUGCUGGAGACCCACACCAUUCGGCAUUAUCUUCCCUCAUAGGAGGGUGGCUGACAGCAGUUGUCAUUUUGCUUCAUCAGAGGUUUAACAAUUGGGCUCCAUGGGCAGGCAGGUUUACAGAAGGGACAGGACGGUUACACUGUUUUCAGGCAGUAGUGUCUUAACUUUUUAAGUGAGUGACUUUCAUAAUGCUUAUUGACACUUGGUAUUUUUAUCUUUGGUAUCUGAACGUUUGUCCGCAUGCAUGUAUGUGCACCAUGUACAUGCCUCAGUUGGCUCCCCUGGUGCUGGAGUUAACGAUGGUCAUAAGCUGCCAUGUGUUUGCUGAGAACUUAACCCUGGUCCUUUGCAAAAGCAACACAUGCUCUUAACUGCUGAGCAUCUCUUGCCAAAACUUAGCAUUUAAAAAAAAAAAGUGAUUUUUUUUUUUUAUAAUUGAGACAAAAAUACCGAGUUGCAUAAGAAUAAAAGAAGAAAGUCCUUUCCUAUCAUGAAGAACCUCAUGGAAACUACCAUUGGCAGAAAGGGGUUGUGAGCCACCUCCCUCAUAUUUUUAAUAGUGUGUCCUAUCAAAAAUUAUAUAUCUGACUAUUUUUUUCCUUUGUUUUUUUUUUUCGGAGCUGGGGACCGAACCCAGGGCCUUGCGCUUGCUAGGCUGACUAUUUUUUAACAUUUAUUUUUAAUAUUUUAAAAUUUUUAUAUGUGUGAAUGUUUUGCCUGGUUGUGGGUCUGUACACUGCUUGUGUGCCUGAUGCCCAUGGAAGCCAGAAGAGGGCAUUGGAUCCCCAGAAACUGGAGUUAAUAGAUGGUUGUAAGAUAUCAUGUGGGUGCUGGAAACCCACUGGGUCCACUGUAAGAGCAGUCAGUACUCUUUAACCACUGAGCCAUUUCUCCAGCCCAUAUCUGUAUAGUUUUGAGUUGAAUUCAUCAUUGAAAUAGACUUGAUUGUGAACAUAAUUCGUUGUCAUAGGCUGCAGCAUAGGUAAGGAACUGGAAGAGUAAGUUGAAGAAAGGCAUAGAAGAUUCAUAGUCCACAUAUGAGUGGGCUUACAAAUUUAUAUUUAGGUUCUUCCUGUGCAAAGCACUGAUGCCUACUGCAUAUCUUAGACCAUUUCCAAGUAAACGGUUGGUAGACUAGUGACUUAAGUGUCAUUAUGAGAUUUUACAUGACUGAGGAAAUUCAGUCUGGAAGAGCUACACUAGCUAUGGGCUGCUUGCUGGAUUCAGCCUCUUUGGAAGCAGCGUUCUUACAGUAAAUGUUUCCCAUCAGUCAUGUGUAGGACUAUAUUUAUGAGGUCUUUCUUUGGAGUCUGCAUUCUUUCUGACAUUGCUCAUGCUUGUACCUGGAGAUAUUACUAAAGAAAGAGAAGAGCUUCACAAUUUAAAGUGGAUUUAUGUGAAUACUUUUCUAUGGUAAAGAAAAAGCAACAGUAAACAGCAAACAUCACAAAACCCCACCUCUUUGUCAUCACCUCCGUGGCAACAGUAGAUUUUGUUUGGAAGCAGGCAUGGGUUGUGGAGAAUACCCCAAACCACUGUGACAACCUGGCGGCUUCUUUGAGGAGCUCGUGUUGAGAAAUGUGGCGGUGCUGUCACUAAGUAUGCUUUGUCCCAUCUUGGUCAUUUGGAAUUGACAGCCUGUUCUGUGGACCAGUGUGCACUUUCUCUGUACUGCGUUCAGCACCAUUAACAAGAGCAUCUGCCCGCUGUUUGGGUUAUGUCUCUGUGGCUGCAGGGUCCAGUUGGUUUGUGUGCUGUACAGUGCUCUGGUUCCUUAUUUGUAUUUUCUAAAGUUCUUCUGUCCACUGUGGAACAAGGUUUGUUGAACUUCCUGUUUUUCCUGUAGUAUGAGUAACCCGUGCUUCUGGUCAGCCUCUAUUUUCUUUCUUAUUUUUGAUGUAUUGUGCCUUUGAUGAAUGGCCCCUUAUUGAUAAGAUAAAGCUCUACAUUUCACCUUCCGUGGCUUACUGAUACUGGACGUAUAUUUUAGAAAUCUCUUUAAAGUCUUUACAUACUAAAAACAGUAGCCUUCUUAGGCACUCUUUGUUAAUCUUGAAUGGACUUACACCCCCUAUGCCUUGUAUUCCUUAUGCUGGUGUCUGCUGGUGUUUGUUUUUGUUGUUGAAAGUCCAAAUGUCUGAGGAUUAUGCUCUCUCUGUAAAUCUGAAUCUCUUCUUCAGGGUUUGCUUGUGUUUUGGUUCUGUUUUUUGAGGAUUAUCACUUUCCCUCAUACUCUCUUGACUUUAAGGUGUGUUUGUUCCUUGUCCUGUGUGGUUAAGGGUUGCUUGGAAGCUUGUGGUGUGGUUAUUGUUGUAUUGUUUUGGAUUUCAGUGCCAGAGAUUGAACCUACAGUCUUGACUGUAAUAGGCAAGCACUGGACCAUGGACUAAGUUGCCCACAGUGACUUUAAGCUUGCUCUUUAGACUAGUCUAGCCUUCAGUUUAUAGCUAUUUUGUCUGAGCAUGCAAAUAAUCAGAAAUGGGAAAAAAAAUCAAACAAGUAACACCUAAAUCUCUCUGUCUUUGCUAGUUGGCUCUUUAUGGGUCUACUUUGAGCAUUAGACAGACUGACGUGUGGUAUAAAUGUAACCUAAGGUGAAACCCCAAUCUCCUCAUGCUGCUUCUGAGCCUGUACCUGCUCUGAGCAUGUGUGUGGUUCUUGAAAUCCUCCCAUGUGUUUGCUGCUUUUGCCCUAAUUCCCAAGGACAUCCUUGUCUUUUCCUUUUGAGGUCUCCUGGAUCUGUCUUAUGUCUCAAUUAUGAUGCUUACUUACGUCAGGUAAUUCUGAUUAGUGCCAGCCUUUCUUCAACUUGGAUGGGUUUGGGGUUAGAAACGAAGCAGGUUUUUGUGACAGACUAGAACAGUUAACUGAAUAACGGGAUAGGAAGGUCUGUUCUACUCCCAUUGGUACCUGGAAUUAGAGUCCUAGUCAGGGAACAUGGGCAGCUGCUCCAGGUGAGCAAGACAGAUGAGAACACUGUAAACUUGCUUAUUAUUUUUAGUUGAUUUUCUUGACUACAGCUUCUGUCAGUUGCUUAGCGCUUGACUGAUUUGUAGAACUCUGAUAGACGGUCGGCUCCUUCCUGCUGUUUCACACGGGGAGGCUGCACACUUGUAGCUCUUGCCUCUGCUUUCUCCCAGCAUCACUCUGUCAGACUGCAGGAGUUCUUUCCAGAAAGCUCAGAAACAUUUGCAUCCUAGACUGAGAUGCUCAGAGCCUUUUCUCGUGACUGGGAGAAUCACCCAGCUCUGAUUUUCAUUAUACUUUUUUUUUUUAUCUGAAUGCUAAUAUUGAUAUUUUCUGUCUUAAAUAGAGAAAUGUUAGAAGUAAAGAAGCUUUGAUUCUUAGUUCAUUCAGGGUGCCAUAACAAAAUGUUACAUUGGAAGCGGGGGGUUGCAUAUGACCAUGAGAUGUCAAGGUUUUGACAGAUUUGUUUGGUGUCUGAUGAGGAUCUACUCUUUGGUUUUUACUAAUUACUCGGUUUCAGGUGUUCUGUUACAGCACCAGAAAUGGACUAUGAUUACCAAGAGUUUGAGGCCCUUGGAUGAGAGAGCAGUGCCUACUACCCCUCGGGUGUUUGUGGGCUGCUUUUGUUCUAGGUGGACAUUUGGUGUCCUUUCAGCCUACUUGGUGCAAAGAACAACUUAGCUCUCUCGGGACUCUUCUCUAAGGGCACUAAUCCCAUCCACUGGGGUUCUGCCGCUUACAGACCUUGCCUCUUAAGGCGAUAACUUUGGAAUUUUGGCGAGCUACAGAUAUUCAGACCACAGCCAAUGACCAUGUUUUGAGGUAUUUUUCUGCUUUGAAAAUGCAUUUCCAAAAUGACCCAAGAACAAGUCAUUAUGUACAAAUUUUUAGUUAUGUUUUUAUUGGUAAAACUUAAGUGCAGCUACAGUAUUAUUUUGUCUGUUUGGUGGAUGGCAUUUGUAAUUAGUUUGAAGAUGGGGAAAGUUAGAAUGGUUUGGCCGUGUUUGUCACCACUGUGUGCAAGCUUCUGAGGACUUUCUGCCUUCAUGAUGAGACAGUACAAAGCUGUUCACGGGGGGAAGACAGAGUCUCAUAUUUCAUGUGAGGGAAAUGUCCGUGCCAUAGGUUCAGUGUCCCCAAAGAGUUGUACCAAAGUUCACUUGCCAGUGUGAUGGGGUUGGGAAGUGUUUAGUUCCUUUUCUUGUGCUUGUGGUACAAUAACCAACAAAGCCAACUUAAAGAGGAAGGGUUUAUUGGGACCCAUGGUUUGAGGGUGCAGUUCAUCAUGGUGGGGGGAAGCGUGUGUGUAGAGUCAUGUGAGACAGCUGGCCACAUUGUGUCUACAGUUAGCAAGCAGGGAGAGGGGAAUUCUGGUAUCUGCUUACCUGCUCCUAUAUUCAUUUGGAGAGCUGAGUCUAUGGGAUAGUGCUACUCACAUUUAGAGUGGGCCUUCCUCCUCAGUUAAUGUCUCCGGGAACCUCAGCAGAGACUCCCAAUAAUCACACUGACAGUCAAAAUUAACUGGGAAGAAGCUCAGUAAAUGUGUGUUGUUGAUGUGGCAACAGCCUGUCAACAAAAUGUCAGACCUAGACGGUUUACAAACCCUUCCUGGGGUGAGGCUCAACCUUCUUUUGGUCCAAAUCGGAACUUUGGCAGUGUAAAUAAGAACUAGCAGCCACAGUCUUCUCCCUAAGGAUGACAGAACAAGAUGUCUCUCUACAAAGACCUCCUGCUGAGACUAGUUCGCUUCUCCUUCUGGUCUGUACAGAAUAGAGGCACUGAGAUUCCAGGAUGUGCGAGGUUGUUGGUAUGUCUCCAUCAGAUCUGGAACAUCCUACCUGGACCCAGCUUUUCUAUAUGUGUGUCUAUUCUGUUUUUGUUUUUGUUUCUGUUUUUUUUUUUUUUUUUUUUUAAUUCCCUCAAGGCCAGAAAGACUUCCACGACCAAGCUGGGCAAUUAACCAUCCCGGAAACCAAGACUAUAGAAGGUUGACCAAACCACGCAGGGUAUGGCACUUACAUUACAGAAAGUGAGACUUGUUAGGCAGUCCAUGUGAAUAUACUAGUUCAUGUGGGACAUUAUGUUUGAGUGGGCUCUGUGAAAGCCGUGUUCCUUCUCUUGACCUGGCCCGUGUUUCCUGCCUUUCUGCCUGACAAGCUACAGCAGCAAGUUUCUUGCCAGCUACCACUGCCAGGCUCUCGGACUUCUCAGCUUCCAGAACUAUGAGCCAAAUCAUUUUCUAUUUAUAAGUUUCCCAGUCUCAGAUAUUCUGUUAUAGCAACAGAAAUAGAUUAAAAUAGACCAUCUUAAUGGAAGUUUAAGGUCUUUAGAUGAAAGAAUAGUGUAUAUUGUUUUUCUGGUGAUUCCUGGCUACUUUUGUCCUUGAUGAAGCAUUUCAUGUACUGUAUCGGGAGUCACUGUUAAUUUCCAUAAGUAUUAUGUAUGAAUUAACAUGCAUUUACACUGAAGACUGAGUUGGAGUGGGGAGGGGAAUGGGUUGCAAAUAAAUUGUGACCCUAGUAUGGUGUUAGUGAAUAUCCUCCUCUCAGCUAUCUCUCUUCAUCCUGUCUGGUUUGUUUAGGUCGGUGUAAACCGAACUAUAAUUUGGUAGAAUUUCCCCUAAAGCUACAAGUAGUAGUUGACCUGGCUUCCCUGCUUAAGAUAAUCAUAGGAGGUUUGGUACAGGUUGGACUACUUAGUUCUGGCAUGCUUAUUCCAGGGGUUGCUUAUAUCCAAAGCUGUCUUAACCUGUUGCUACCUCAACUUCCUUGAUGUCCUAAAGCACGUCAUCUUGUUGGAGCCCCCUACUGGUGAGGCAAAGUGGGCUGUAGGUAGAUGUAGUUACCUGAAAGUGUCAGUGUAUUGUGCCCUAAGGAAGUGGUGGUGUUGGUGUAGAAGGCAGGUCUCAGGUGUCCAGGGCUGUCACAUUUGACAAGUGGGUGGUAAAGAAUCGUGGAGUCAGUGGAUGGGAAAGAAGAGGCCACUUAGGGUCUAAGAUCUCCACUGUUACAGCAUGUGUGCUUGUUUGUGUGUCUUCCUUUGGAUUUGGACAUAUAUUGCAUAUUAUUUUAUUCUUUGUGAUGCUGGGGAUUGAUUCUAGGGCCUUGUGUUUAGUAGGCAGGCACUCCCCUCCUGGGCUAUAUACUCCAGCCAGCCCACUGUCUCUUUUGAAAUAGUGACUUAAAACAAGAACCUUUGAAUUUUGGCUUCAUUCUUUUUCCUCCCCGUCUCUUCAUCUCUUUGGUUUCCCCUGCAGGAACCCAUAGGAGAGAAGACUAAGGCUAGCUUAACUAUAGGGCCAGGUUCACGGGGAGGAAAGGGCUAAUGACAGUUCUGAGUGAGUACUGGGAAGUCUGAACCCCAGGGGCAGGGAGGAGCCGAGCAAGUCUAGUAAGUUCUCUAGUAAUUGACCUCAUUCCUAGCUUGGCUGGAUGGUACUCAGUCGCAGAGUUUGAGACUGAAAAGGAUCAGAGAACUGUGGACUCUGCUUGAGGCACUUUCAAACCUCACCGCUCUCCUAGAAUUGAAGCUGAAGCCUGCGGGAUGAUUUGACUUUCUGGCCCUGAAUAGGCAGAGUCAGCGGGGAGUCGGGUAGGGAGCAGAGCUGGCCUGCUGCUCUUGCUUUCCCCACUGUAGACAGCAGCAUUGCAGGCAGACAGGAGCAUGUUUCCUUCCACAUUAGCCUGUGAGCGAAUUUACUAAGGUAGUGGGGCUGUUAGUGAAGGUUGUCCUUUUGAGAUUUCUAUAUAAUGUUGUCCAAUGGUGCACACAGUGUAGUGAUGACUCAUGUGAAUGACACAGGCUUCCUAUAGUGAAGGCUCCUCCUAUGAGUGCUACACAGCUAUUGUGAAGUCCUCAUUAUUUUUCCUCCUGAGGGCCUGUCUUUUGUUAUUUUAUAAAACAUUUUUUCUUUAAAGUGUUUCAAUCAUUAAGUCUUUGUCAUACUGAAUUAAGAGUAGUUUUUCCUUUCCGUUAUUAGUAUACCAGACUACCACUCUGAAACGCUUGAUCCUUAAUUAGCUGGCAAGGCAGGGAAUUCAAUCUUCGCAUCUAAAACUUGGAAGCAUGAAGCAAGAUAGUAAGACUAUGGUGACUCUGUUGAAGCCAUGUGCAACCUUUUCAAGUAAUAAAAUAAGCUUUUCAGGUGAGUGUAGUAUUGGACAGUGUUCUGUGUAGACUGGGCACCAGGGUCUGGUGGCUUUGUCUUCAGGACCUGACGGUGAUUCUGCCAGACAACUGCUGUUUGUCUCACACAGUUCAGGUAGCCUUGAGUCUGUGCUGCUGGAGACCCCUUUGAAGGCCUUCACCUGUCUUUUCCCUUCCAGAAAGGAGUGGAAACUGUAUAGUGGACCUGUGAUAGAUUGUUAGGUUCAGUUUUGAGUCCCUAAAGAAAUAGAGACGUUAGUGCUGAGAAUUGUGAAGCCAGCCUUAAUGGAAAUAAAGACAGCAGAUGAAAGAGUUCCUUUGUCUUCUCUUGGAAUCCAAGGGUGAACCUUACGUGUAGGCAGAGAAUCGGUAGACACCGACCCCUCCCACACUCUAGAAACUCUUUGCUAACUUACAAGAAAAGUAUGCAGACACUCGGGCGGGCACCUUCCCAGAGUCGCAUGCUUGCUGUGCUCUGCAUGUUGUACAUGCUACGGUGCCUGCGUGGCUUCAUGAGUCUUCAUUUCUGUCUGUUGCCUUUGUUUCAUCAUGUUCUCUAUUGAUCCAGCAAAUUGGUUUAUUUGGGUCAAUUGAGAGUAGUUACCUAAGGGAACUGUAAAUAUUGAACUCAGUCAUUCAUGUUGCUUAACUAAGUGCUGGGAGUUAGUUACAAUUCUCUGGAUACUGUGUAAUAAUCUAAUUCAGAAAUUAAUUCUGGUAACUAGCAAGACUAUGGUCACACUGUGUCAGUUUUCUGGUCACUGAGGUUACAGCUGUGUACACAUUGUAGGAGCACUCACCUUGUCUUUGACAGAUCAGCUCACAUUUAUGUUAUGUUCAAGCUGCAGUGAUUGGUAGUAAUGUUAUUGAAUUAUGGGUAGUGAGACCAGUUUGCUUAGGACUGCUUAGGAAACUUACCUACUUAGAGACGGAUUAGGAGUGCAUUGUGUGGUUGGCAGGAGUAGCCACUGCAGAUGUGCUGCUGGUUGAGAAGCAGCCGGUCAGCUUUUGACUUGGUUACUCAUUGACUUCUCUUUCUUUCUGAAUGAAAGCAGUUAGGUUUAACUGAAGCUGACUAAGAUAAGAACGAGAAGCUUUGUUCAGAAGAUGUGUGUGUUGGACAAAGCUCUGGAAAGCUUUCCUUGCAAGACUGUUGUCCUGGCAGCAGCUCAUUCAUUAUUCUGGAGCACUGGGUGCCUUUUUCUCUAUGCCCCAGCCUCCAGGAGUAUCUGUCUGCUCUGCAGAGGCAGUAGCCACUUAGCUAUAACUCUGAGUGGGAUGGGUAAGUUAGCAACAUGCCUGGGUAUUAUUUGAAAUCAGAGAUGGGGAGGCCUCCAGAUCUUUCAGGGUGGACCAUUGUCUUUAAUUUUUCUAAAGCUCCUUAGCACCAGUUUAUUUUAAUAUUAUAUUGGCAGAAAUUUUUCUUAAGAUCUUAUAUGGAUUCUGUACACUUUGGCAAAAUCUUGUAAAUCCCUUUAAUGCAAAUAGAAAAAAGAUCUUGCUGGAUAUGGUAGCCAUGUUUGUAUUCCCACCACGUAGGAAGCUGAAGUAGGAAGAUGGUGAGUUCAAGGUCAGUGUGGGUUACAUAGUGUGAGAUGCCAUCUUAAACAAGGACUGAGUAUAGCUCAGUGGUAGAUCCUGAGUUUGACCUGUCUGAUGGAGGUUGUUCAUGUAUUUCUGUUUUAAUAAUAAUAUUGAAUAUAUUCGAUAUAGUAUUUGAUAGUAACUGUUGUCAUUUCCCUUCUAAUAUUGACCUCUGAUUAUCAGUUAUAUCCUCCCUUCCGUUUAGUGUUUUUUGAAUAUGGUCUGCACUCUCCUUCCCAGCACGGCUUCUGUGCAGCUAGCUAGACCUGUAAUUUUAAGCCAGCAUUAUUUCUUGGCUGAUGGGAGCUAUCAAGAACUUUAAAAGGCUAACUUGUGUUUUUUGAGGUAAGGACAAAUAUGAAGCAGAAGGAGUAUUGGAGUAUGGGCAAGCUUAAAAAUAGAAAUAAAAUAAAGUUCUUGCUGGGAGAUUUUCAAACAGCUCUUAGGUCAACAGCUUUGAAAUGAGGUUGUCUGAUUAGGAUUCACUUUCUGACUGCUCUGUUACCUUGCCCUCUCCUCUGUGCUUCCUGGUAUGGCCUCACCUUUCAGGGACUGUUGUGUUUACAUGGGUGGAAUUAAAUCAGAUUGUUCUCUGAAUGAUCUGGUACUAAGUUAAAUUAUUGCCACUCUUUAAUGUCUAAAUAGUAAGAAAAUUAUGUUCAAGUUUGGUUCUUUUUACACAGCUAAUGUGUAGCCUUAGAAAAUACAUUUCUAAAGUAAAUAUAAAUAUUUUGAAAUGUGGUAAUCUUUUUAUAUACAUACUUCUGUCGAAAAGUGGCAUUGUGAUUACAUUUUCAUUAGUAUGUGCUAGUGUGGGUUAGUGUUUAAUAAACAUAGUUUAAAUUGGGACAUAAUGUGCAGCCGAUGAAACUGAGUUCUGCCAUGUGGAGGGCUGAGUUGUUGAUACUUUCAACAAAAAACAGAGAAGAGAAAUGGAAUAGUGUUCUUUUGCUUACUUUUACUCUAAGCUUUUGAAUACUUUGGGGACAAAAGUUGUUUUCCAGUACUCAAUGAACAAGUCCAUUGUUGAGGAAGAAAGGACACUGGGAAGAAUGUCCUGGGGAAGUUAGGGACUGCACUUGUUUCAAGGGACACUCACAAAUUGAGUCGGUUUUUUUUUUUAUUCCUUGGAGGAAUCCUAAUGCCAUACGUGCCUUUAAAUUAAGCAGAGCAACAUAAGACUGCUUUUAUUGGGUACAGUAAACAAAACUUUUUUUAAUUUCCAUUGCAGUUAAUGGAAGGGGAAAAAAUAACAGCUUUCAGAGUUGGAAAGUAUUCAGAAAUGUCAUUCUGCCCCGCUCCCUUUUCCAGUCCGCAUUCUAGCAAGGUGAUAGACAACAGUUACUAGAAAGAAUCCUCUCUUCCUUGUCUGGCUGAAAGUACACUUCAGUUUGACUUGUGAAUCUGUAAUCGCAAUCAUGAAGAGUCACACAGCCAUUAAGAGUGUGUACAGCUCUUGCAGAGGGCCUGAAUAUGCUCCCAGUGCCCAUGUCUUAUGGCUUGCUGCUGCCUGUAACUCCAGCACUAGGACAUCUCACACCUCUGCCUGUCCUGUGCAGGCACCCACACAUACAGAAUAGUUAAAGUAAAACAAAUCAUUUAAAAAGGAUUAUACAGGCCCUUAGUGUCUUUAGGUCAGUAUCUCCGUUGGCAUGCAGCCACACUGUGUGUAUGCUGCUGCUGAGGGACAUGGUGGAGGAGGAGGGAGCACACCUGAGCCCAGCUCGUGGACACUGCCUUCAGUGUGCCGCAGAGGUGGACCAAGUUGCUCUUCCCGCCUUACAUUUUGACAGAGUUUCUGUCCCCUCUGCUUUAUAGUGUUUUAGCCUUGUUGUGUUGUUGUUGUUGUUAUUAUUAUUAUUAUCUGCUUCCAUUUGCUUUUAUUUAUUCUUCUUUCUUAAUGUUGUCUGGCAGUCAGCUUAGGGAGGUACUGGCAAAUGUUUUAUAAAGUAGCUGUGUUCACACGUGCUUCAGAUGGCUCUGUGUCAUUGCUAUGCCCACAUUUAUUUCAUUGUACCACGCUGCCAUAUUACCACAUCUCUGUUUGAUUUAAAGGUUUUUUGAUUUCAGAAUUUGAUCAUAAGUCUUAGGUGAACAAGAGGGCUCAUCAGUGUGGACUUUAAGAUCAUUUUGAAGUUUACAAAGUAAAUAUACUAGGGUUUUACAUCAACUUUGGUUGAAUUUAAAUUGUAGAGCUUUCUGGUUUGGAGUGGCACUUGUUUUUCCAAUUGCUUUGAUGUGUCUUUUCUGGGCCAUAAUUGAGGUAGGUGGUUGGUGUAGAAACGUUCUAUAAUGAGUGGAUUCCCUAUGUUAUGCUUUUAGCAUAGUUUCAAUAUUUUCUUUUUCUGGCUUCUAAAACUUCAAGCUUAUCUAUUUUCAUUUGUACUUAGCAUUGGCAUUACAUUUUUUAAAACUUUCUUAUGCUACACAUUUAAUUACUUUUAGAUUUUUGAUGUGGUUUUCAAUUUGAUUAAACAUUUGUAGCUGUUGUAUAAUGCUAUAUCAGAUUUCUCCUUUGCCUGAUCACCAUUUGCAAACAAGUGUUUUACAUUCUAUGAGGUUAAUGGACUUUGUUGUGCUAUAACUCUCCAGCUUUGUUGCAUAGUGAUCAACAUGCUAGAAUCUUUUGUAAUCUAUUAAUAGCUUUUAUUGCUCUAGUAUCUGUUGAAAUUCUCUGUUGUGAAUUUUUGAAUAGAGAUGCAGCUGUCUUUGUGCUGUGGUUAAUGUGGUGAUAUGUGUGUCCUUACAGUUGUUUACUUCUAAGUUUGCUUGUCUUUCACUAUUACAGUUUUAAAUAUAUACUGUGUACUACAUUUUCAGCAGUUUUGUUGUCUAGAUCUGGCUGUUAAGUCACUAUAUUCCAGGUACCCACACAAAUGUUUCUCUAGUUCUGGAGGUUGGAAGUCUGAGGGGAAGGCCUCUGCAUGGUCAGAUUCUUGGUGAAGGCCUUCCUGGCUCACAGACUGAUGGGGAGGAGCAAGACUCAGCUGUAGUAUCGUCUCCUCACCUCUGAAAGGCCCCACCUCCUAAUCCACACUGGCCACUAGCAUUUCAGUAUCUGAAUUAGGGAGCAUAUUUAAACUGUCAGUUCCAAAUGAUAUGUCUCCUCCACUUUCCGAGUGUCUCCUAGUGGUUCUUUGUGUUCAGGCAACCAAUGCCGUGCUUCCUCUCUGAGGUGCCCCUUUCUCUCUGAGGAGCCCAGUCCAGAGUUUUCUUUUUUCUUUUUUUCAGAGCUGGGGACCGAACCCAGGGCCUUGCACUUGCUAGGCAAGCGCUCUACCACUGAGCUAAAUCCCCAACCCCCAGUCCAGAGUUUUCUAGCAGUUUCUUCCAGUUGGGUUUCUUUGACUUGGUACAGUUAUUUUCAAACGUAUUCAUGUUAUGUGGGGUUAUUAGUUCAUUCUUUUUAUGAACUGUUAUGAAUGGACAGGUCUCAACAUUUGGAAAGAAGUCUGUGUAGACGUAUGCUUUGUUUCUUCUAGGGAAAUGCCUAGGAGUGGGGUCAUAUGGCAGAUAUAUGUUAAAAGUUUUAAGGAAUCACCAAACCAUUUUCCAGAAUGGUUGAAGCAUUUUUUGUUUUUCAGCGGUAUAGAGACUGGGUACUUGCUUCAGUUUUGCUGAAGGCUGUCAUUAAAACAAACAAAAGAGUCCCCAGCUUCCUUUUCUGAAAUGGUAGAGAUUUCUUUUCUCCAGUUCUGGAGUUGAGUCAGGCCAAGAGCAGAGCGCACAGAGUUGUUUUUCCCCUGACCUCUGCUUGACUCGCCUGUGGUGUCCUCUGCCCGCCUGUGGUCUCCUCUGCUGCAUGCUCCUGGUGCCUUUGUUCUGUUCUCUGGGGUUCUUUUUACGUGAGAUUCUUUCCCGUUUUGGACCUGACACACCCAUCUCUUCCAUUUCUCUCAUCCUUCUUAGUGUGUCUUCAUUGUCCUUUUGGUCAUCAUCUCUCUAGGAUGAUUUUUUUUUUUUUUUUUGGUUCUUUUUUUUCGGAGCUGGGGACCGAACCCAGGGCCUUGCGCUUCCUAGGUAAGCACUCUACCACUGAGCUAAAUCCCCAGCCCCUUAGGAUGAUUUUUUUUAAGUUGUAUAUUUUUGGUGGCUUUGCUAUGAGGAUAUUUGCUCUUAUAGUGUCUUUUCUUUUAUAACAACUUUGUGGAAUCAGACUUAGUAUUUUUGAUUCUCAUUUUUAUGUACAGUGUGUUCGUCCCCUGGGAAGGAAUGGAUGUGUGUGUGUGUGUGUGUGUGUGUGUGUGUGUGUGUGUGUGUGUGUGUGUAGUCUUUGACCCUCUAGGGCUGCUCCGUGGUGCUUCCUCACUGAAAUUUCCUGCUUUCCUUUUUUUGGGCUUUUACUCUGCUGCCCUGGUCUGGAACUCAUUGUGUAGACCAGGCUGGCCUUAAAUCACUGAAAUUCACCAGGCUCCUUUGAAACUCUUGGUUAUUAGUGUAAUCACCUCUUGCCUUAGCUGAAUUCUUGCUUAGCUUAAUCACCGCUCUCCUCAGUGUGUGUGGUGUGUGUGGGGGGUGGGGGGAGGAGAUGGAAAGGGGGAGCUGUUGUUUCCAUGUGAAUCAGACUACAUCAGGGAGAUCUAUAGCUGCACUCCCACCUCCAGCCUGUGUGCAGUGGGCUGAACACUGGACUGUGAGUCCCCGUGAGCACUGUUCUAUUGGGCUGUUCUGAGCUGGCCGACUUAGCACAGUCUGCCCUCCACACAGCCCUCUGCAGCCUGGUGCAGGGUCCUAGGCUGUGGCCUGUGACUAGCAUUUGUUCCUAUUUGCUGGUGUGUUGGUGUCCAUAAGAUUCUUGUCACUGAGUGUGUCAAAAAUGAUGAGUGUUGGAUUUUGUUACCUAGUUUUUUUUAUAUUUCAUUUGAUAAAAAAAAUUAUUCAGAGAGGUAAAGAUUUUUAUCUUAUAUCACAAACAUAAGAAUUUACUUUUAUUUUAAAUUAACAGCCUUGUCAAGAGGGCCAAGAGAAUAAAAUUGAUAAAGCUUUAAAAUGUGUAUUUAGUAUUAUUAAAUGUUAAUUAUUUUAUUGUUAAAUUUCUGAGCAUUGGAGAACUAGUUGCUUUUAUCAGUCACUAAUAACUAACUCAGGCUUCUCUGGAAUGUGGCAAGAAGCUGAGUGUGUACUCGUAUUAUUGAAAAUCUCAUUCUAAGGUCAUUUUCUAUGAGCUGCUCCACAUGCUGCAGCCUAAGAAGUGUUUCUGGCUCUGAAACAUACAUUAUUUGUUUUGUGUAUUUUUGCCUAAAGAACAUAGGCUAUUCACUUGCAGUAAAAUUAGACACUUUGUGGGGGUUGGGGAUUUAGCUCAGUGGUAGAGCGCUUGCCUAGCAAGCACAAGGCCCUGGGUUCGGUCCCCAGCUCCGAAAAAAAGAAAAGAAAAAAAAAAAUUAGACACUUCGUGAACCCAAGAACUAGAAACUUGUCAAUCACAAUUUCCCUGUUGCCAUCCACUUGAAAGACCCCUUUGAGAGUGUUUUAAAUAGAAGUACAUACAGAUUUAAUAAAAGUUAUCAGUCAUUAUGGCACUAGAUUAGGACUUAAUAAAAUUUCCCUUGUUUUCAUAUUAUUUUGUUUUUAAACUAUAAAACAAGUUCUAGUUAAUAAUUUAGUGUUUUUUUGUGUUAUAUGUUAACAUUUUUCUUUAUUUCUAACACAAAGGGUAUAGCUCCUUUUCUUUUAAUGGUAUAAUAGAAUUAAAUACCUUUUUAUAUCAUUAAAUCACAUUCUACAACAGAAUUUUAUGGAGUACAGUAUUUUAUUGUGUUUGUACUAUAGUGAAAUUUGCUGGCUUAUUAUUGGUCAUUUAGGCCCUUUCUAAUUUUUGCUGUUAUAAAUAACACCAUAAUAGACACUCUAUGGUGAUAGCAUCAUGUGUAUUCAUGUCCCUAGGUAAAUAAUUUGUGUAUUUAUGUUUGGAGGUGGGGGGAAUAAGAUAUGGAGGGUGAAUUCAAAUAGUUUUCAUAGAAUGUUUCACACUGUGUGCUGUUGUGCUAGUCAGCUUUUUCUUACCGGGACAAAAUACCUGAGAAAGAUGACUUAAGAAGGGACAUAGUUUUCCAGCUCCAUAAUUUCAGCCCAUGGUCAUAUGGAUCCUAGUAAGGUAGAAGACCAUGGCAGGAAGUAUGUGGUAGGGCAGAGCUCGCUCAUUUACAGGUGCAGGAGCAAAGCAGAAAACAUGACACUGGUACCCCUGCUUCGUCCAUGUAGACCCCACCUCUUAGUUUCUGUACCCCCCAGCCAUGGCCACACAUUGCAAAUCCUUCUGCGGAUUAAUGUGUUGACUAUCAAAUCUAGUCACUCACCUAGAACCUUACCUCAGCACUGUGUUGGGACCAAGCCUUAAACGUACACGGUUUGUGAGAAUGCAGUGAAACCUUUCUUAUAGUAUUUUGUCCAAUUAUAUUAUGAGUUUUUAUUCUUUUAUUGCACCUAAUUUAUUAUGUCAGAGGCCUGUCUAUAUACAGACAAAACAUGGUAUGUGAUGGGGCUUGAUACUUUGCCGUUUGGGCCAUGAUCGGGGUUGUUGGAGUGCUGCUGUGCUCACAGGGGAGCAGGGAGGACCGUAAGUAUAAAAUGAUGCGUACACCAUCCUGCCUGCAGGGGAGGAAGCCUGGUGACCAGUGGACAUGUGUGGAAAAAUUUCACUUUGGUCUGGUUCACCUGGAUUUUACUGUUACUUCACUCAAAAGUAAUUUUAAAAAAAGCUAUAUUAAAAUAAUAACUAACAUUUAUGAGGCAUUAUGUCCCAAUCAACAUCAUAACUUUAAAACAACUCAGAAAAAGUUUUUGCUAUGCCCUCUACUUUAAUAACCUUUCUUCCUUGUAUAUCCCACUAGUUUUUCUAGUAAACACAUUCAUACUCAGUUAUCCUCCUCCCCAUACAUAGAAAUAUAAAGAGACACAAUCCAGAUUGAAAAAGUGUGGUUGAAUUAUCUCUAUAGCAGAUUUAUAGGGGAAGGCAGGACAGUGAGGCUGUAGAGGAUGCUGGUCACUUGCUGAGAUGGACCAGGCUGUGUAAACACUGCAUUCAGUGCAGUGCCAAUUCUGGAAUGUUUCUUCAUUGAGAUUACAGCAUUGAACAGGAUCACCACAGUGAGACAAAGUGUUUCCUUGGGACAGAGUCUCUAAAACAUGGUACUGAAUUCUGUCACCAGGCUCUAUAUGUAAGGUGCAAUUAUACUGUGUAUGACGCCAUGAUGCAAAUUCUUACUCUUCUGCUCAGAAUUCAGGUAGUUUGACUGGAGUGCAUUUGACACCCAGGUGGUUUAUAUUAACAUUGCUACAGUCAUGUGAAAUGUAUGUAAAGGACUGAGGUUCUGACAUGACAGUGGCUUACUUAGUGGACAUGUACAUGUACAUGCUUUGAAAAGGCCCUUUCAGUCUUCAUUGGCAUCUUAUUCAGGCUAGACAUCUUGUGGCUGGUCAUGGAAGGCCCACAGUUGGCAGUAGUCUGAAGGAGACAGUGUUUUGUGAGCAGUUCUUAGUAGCACACUUAUAGGUACUGCCCAGAAUAGAGUUAGCCACAGUGUGUCUGCAGUGGCCUUUGACAGGUAACAGUGGAUGAAAAUAAGAAACCAGUUAUGAAUUAGUAAGUGAUUUUUUUGUUUGUUUUGUUUUUAAAGUCAGAGAGAGAAGGCCACAUAUUUGCCACAGUGGGCAGUUCUUAGACCUUGUCCUGAGGAAACUCAAAGACCUCACAGCUCUUGGGUUUAGACCUUGCACCACCUGCACCAGCUCUGUAUGUGCCACAUGUUUCUUGCCCUGGUCCUGAGAGUUUCAAGGAGGGUAGAAAAGUACUGGGAAGAGGGGAUGGGGAAGACAGGGCUUCCCUUUAAAAUCCUCCAUUGCUCUGAGUGUUGAUUCCUCAUAAAAUGUUGGACUUUGGGGAUUUAAAAAGCACAAACUCAGAUGGGGCUCAUGUGAAAAGGAACUGAAUUUUCCUAAAACUUUGUAUCAUUUUGGAAGUACUGAGAAAUUAAACCGCGACAUUUCAGAUGGCAAAUAAUCCCCUAAACAGCUCCCAGUCUUACUGCCCUUAAGAUUUGAAGGCUGUUCUAGACGCCAGAGCAUCUGUUUGCCUUUCUAGAAGGUACUACAUAUUGAUUGCAUAAUGAGGUAACUUUCCUCUGGCUUUGGAAAGUUAAUUUUAGUAAUUGGUCAGACUUUAUGGAAGAGCCAUGCUAAAGAUUUCCCCUUCAGUCUGGAACUGAGAAUUCGGACCAGGAGUCUAGCUUUGUGCCUCAACAUUGCUACUCCUGUAAAAUGUCACCUAACGUGAGGCUUGUUUUGUUUUGCCUUUAAAAUAAAUGUUGACUUGUUCUUAGACUUGUAGACUAGCAGAAAAAGAAAGCCCUUAGACAGUUGACUUGGCUACAGUGAUAAUUAUCCUCAGGCAUGUUUUCUUGUCCAACCCUCACUGACUCAACAAAUACAAAUGCAGAAUCCCCCAAUCAUAGGUUUAAGAUGAAUUAAAAGUCAGAGAUCCAGGUAUUAUAAUCUGCCUAUGUAACACCUGGCCCUAUAUGUAUGUAAUCUUUCAUGACAUAUUUUCUUGACUGGGACUGGUUGUGUGGGCCUGUAAUCAAUACCAGCUAUGUGGGAAGCUGAGGCAAGAGGUUCACAUGCCCAAGGCUUGCCUGAAAAACUUAGUAACAUCUGCCUCAAAUUUUUAAAAAGGGCUGAGGAUGUAGCUCAGUGUAGCUACUUACCUAGUGUCUUAGGGUUUUAUUGCUGUGGAGAGACACCAUGACCAAGGCAACUUUUGUAAAGGCAAACAUUUAAUUGGCUCUGGUUUAUAGUUUUAGAGGUGCAGUUUAUCAUCAUGGCAGGAAGCAUGACAGCUUGCAGGCAGACAUGGUGCUGGAGCAGGAGCUGAGAGUUCUACAUCCUGAUCCAAAGGCAGACAGAAGGAAAUGGACUGGUUUUUUUAGGUAGCCAGAAGGCGCCGGAAUUUCACCCUUGGUGGAGCUUGAGUAUAGGACCACAAAGCCCACCCCACACCGACAAAUUUCUUUCAAGAAGGCUGCACCUACUCCAACAAAGUCUAAUUGUCCCACUCUCCAUGGGCCUCGAAUUAAAACAGUGACUCUAUGGGUGCCAAACCUAUUCAAAGCACUGCACCUAGCAGUGAGGUCCUGGGUUCAGUCCCUAAUAAAACACAUGAGCUAGGAAACUAAAUUUCCAAAAGAAGUGUCUUCACAGGGUGGUUACUGUGUGACUGUUCAUAGCCCACGUAUGUUCUCAUUCAGUUUAGAACUAGUUAGUAACCCAACCUUGGACAUCCAUUCAUCUUUCUGUGGAAGUAGGAAGCAUCACUAUUCUGUCUGAUGAUGUAUACGACAGCCAUUUAAGGGAUGUUGGACAGCAAGUUUAAAAAAGAUGCAGCAUCAUGAAACAGUGACUGCAUUAUGAAUCUUUAAGCUUCCCCAACAAGUGGUGCUCCUAUGGGUGUUAGACAUCCUUGGAAGUGAAACUUGCACAACACGAAUGAUCCACUUGGUUAUUUGUUCUCUCUCUCUCUCUCUCUCUCUCUCUCUCUCUCUCUCUCUCUCUCUCUCUCUGUGUGUGUGUGUGUGUGUGUGUGUGUGUGUGUAUGUGUCUAUUAUUGGGCUUCAUCUUGAAAUAAUCCACUUUAAAGCAACCUGUUCCUAGUGGACCAUUGAGAUGACUGACUUAGUGGGUAGAGGUGCUUGGCUUGGAUUUAAUUCCUGAGACCCACGUAGGAGAGAAUGUACUUCUCCCAAGUUGUCUCUUGGCCUCCACAGUGCUGCAUGGUAUGUGCCUGCCCACCCCCACAAAACAGACAUAUGAAGAAAUAAAAAAUAUCUUUAAAAUAACUGCUCUGUGGCAUUCAGUAUUUCUGUGGUAGUGAUUAGGCUAAAAACCUUGUGUCACCUUGCCCCCAGUGAAUAAUUAUCCUAUUUCGUCUUCCUUCCAGCUCUUACAGCCACAAGUUUGCCUUCUGUCUAUGUGUAUUUAUUCAUUCUAAAUACUUUACAUAAAUACGGUCUUUCAUAUUUGAUUUUGGCCACGGAGCAUAACGUUUUGAUUGUUUAUCUGCUUGCGUGUGCCUGAACACAAUUCACUGCAUAGAUAGACAACACCAGUUGUCCAUCGAUGGACGUUUGGGCACUUGGUCUUUUUGGCUGCCCUGAACAGUACUGCUGCUAGAAGCAACCACACAAUGACACAGCAGUUCUAUCUUAGAUGUAUCCUAUAUCCCUGAAAAGGAUGUUUAUAUUACAACAGCUUUAUUCAUAAGGCAUUGGCAGUGUCAUGUCUUGAAAAGGGUCCUGUUUACACGAGGUAUAUACUCACUGAGUUGGAACCAACGAUAAUGUUUGAUUUCACUGUUGGCAAAUUUUAACUCAUUUUACAAGAGAGAAUAGAGCAAACUGCGAAUCCUAAUUUUCAGCAACUCCAGCUGCUGUGCCAAACUAGGGGAACAAGAAUAGAAGGAAAGCAGUGAGCUGUACUUAAAUCUUGAGAUGCAGUGGUAGCUCAGCUCCUGGUGUAGUCAUGGGCAUGGGUGGAAAGUGUGGUUCUUGGUGCACUUUGAAGGUUGAGCUGAUUUGCUGUGUUGACAGGUGUGAUGGCUGGCUGACGGACAUGAAUACAUUGGCAGGGAAGACAGUUGUAAAGGAUGCUAAGAGUUUUGAUGGGGGCGGAGCUGCCAUUUAAUGAGCCGAGCAAGCCUGAGGGCAGAUGUGUGGGAAGGUGGGGAGUUUUGAGUUUGCACAGAAACCUGCCAGCGAUUAGGAAUCUGCUUGGGACCAGAAAUAAAAAAUCCAGAGUUGUCAGUGUGGCACUCAAGACUGAACAAGCGCUAACAGAGUGAGUGGGCAAAGCGAGUUUAGGUGCUGAACCAGGAAGGAGAUGGAUGAAAAGAAGCCAGCAAGAGAGAGAGAGGGGUGGAGGGCAGAGGCCUGGCCAGUGGGUGAGGGUAAAUUCAGGGGGGGGGGGCAUGCUCUUUUCACUGUUUCACCCACAGGAAGGUAGUUGGUUGAGGUAUUUUAAAGCCAUGCUUAUCCUAGCCCCAACCUUGUUUAGUACCUUGUGUAGAGAUGGUGCAUGAGGUCCAUUUACCCUGUGCUGUUAAAUGUAUUGUAGGGAACCGCUUGCUCGGGGUUCUGUGUGCAGUAAACAAGCGCUCGAUGAUCAUCUGUUCCCUCUGUGGCUUGCUCACAUAGAACGGGCGCAUUAAGCAAUCGAAUCAGCGAUCUGGCGUCCUCUGAUUGUGUACCAGUCUCCAACAAGAUCAAGAGGUCGGAGCCUGUGUCAGUAGGCAGAAAUUACCGGAAGAUACAAACCUUCAACUCCAUACACCUACAGUGAAUAUUGGGUAAUGUUUCCACCUGCCUGUACCUCCUUUGUCUUGGUGGGAGUCUGAUCUUAACAGUGACCUCCCCACACCGCUUUAUCUUUUAGGUGAGACAGAACCUAGUUGGAGUCUGUGUGAAUUGGGAGGAGAUCUGGAUUCAUUUCAGACAUUUGACUCUUUUCCCAGCCAGUGAUUGGCUGAUACAGCUGUGGUCAAAGCUUUGUUUUCGGACCAUUUGUGUUAUAACAAAGUUACCAGAGUCUAUGUAUUUUAUUUUUUAAUUUAAAAAAAUCAAGAGAUUUGUGUGUGUGUGUGUGUGUGUGUGUGUGUGUGUGUAUGUGUGUGUGUGUAUGUGUGUGUGUGUAUGUGUGUGUAUGUGUGUGUGUGUAUGUGUGUGUGUGUGUGUGUGUGAGAGAGAGAGAGAGAGAGAGAGAGAGAGAGAGAGAGAGAGAGAGAGAAGGGGGGAAGGAGAGAGGGAGAGAAUGAGAAUGAGAGACUAUACUGGGAACCCACAGGGGCCAGAAGAGGGUGUCAGAUCCCCUGGGGGAUGGAGUUACUGGUGAUGUAGCUGCUGGGUGUGGUUAGCUCUGGUCCUCUGAAGUGGUUGCAGGUGCUCUUAGCCUCUGGGCCAUCUGUGCAGCCCCAGGACUGUAUUUUAAAGGGAAGGAUUUAUUUAACCUGCAGUAGUGAGGUCUAGCACUCAGUGCUGGCCUGUGCUCAGCUGGUGAGCACCAACUGUGGUGCUCCACCAUGAUGGAAAUGUAGAAAGGAAUGAGUGCAUUCGAGGAGCACAGCGGGGCUGGACUGCUUCACAGCCACCCACUCUCAAUGCCUGGUACCUUUCUUCACAGAUAGUGAUCCUUUCCUAAGUGUGGAGCCCCUCAGACUCCAUAUGAGUCUAGUGGAGACUGAGUGUUCAGAAGAUGUACUGGAGAUCUUGGGACACAAGGAGUCUCCCUUUUAAAAAAAGGUUGAAAACAGAAAUUCUAAUGGACAUGGUCUGGCCAUUGGGAGUCUAUCUAGAGCUAAUCCACUCCCUUGUGCUGAUGCAGAGAGAAGCUGGGUCCCAAAUGAUCUUUAACUAACAUUUUCCAGGGGACUUAAUGAAUAACACAGCAGAUGAGUCUGCCUUCAUGUGAAUCCAUUAACACAGCCAUAUAGUCAGUGGACCAAUUUCUAGGGACUGCUCUGAAGUGGUUCUUCAGGGAAAGGGUGGCCACUUGAUGGCAUGGAAGUCCAGCACUGGGUAGUUGGAGAAGACUAGAUUCAUGUCCUUUGUAACUGGGAGAAGCAGGGUUUGCCAUUCUGAUUGCACAGCAGAUGCCUUUUGAGGUUAAAUCUUAGAAGGAGGGUCGUCAGCCUCAACUGCAGGGCUCUGCUUCCAGUCAGGAAUGAGUAUGGAACAUGGACCCUCCUUUCCCCAGGCCUUAAUUACCGCAGUAUCUGUUCUCUGAGUAGUCUGUGCUUUUUAACAUUUCUAGAGAGGGGGUGGUACUUUAUAAAACUUUUCGUUUUGAGGAUACACUGGUUUAGGGAGAUGGGUUUCAUGGAAUUAGAUGUCAAAGAUGGAAAAGAUAUCAUGGAAUUAGAUUGAUUGUAGUAACUUAAUAGUAUUUAUCACUUUGUUGUUCCUCUCAGAAAACGGGUCGUUUGCUCAAGUUUUUCUAGUAAAGAGUGCUUCAGGGAUACAGCGACAUGAUACAUUCAGGGAUACAGUGACGUGAUCAACUUUGGAAGUGAUAGUGGUGUAGGCAUUUGUUUGGGACUCCCGUGCAGUUUGAAUUGAGAGUACUCUCUUUAUUAUGUUGAAGUCAAAUGAGCAAUUUCAGGAGCCAUGAGAGGAACAUGAAAGUAGGUAGGUGUGUCUGCAGGGGAUUUGUGAAUUGUUCUUCCUUCUGAUGGUAAAUGUCUGUCCAGGUCCAUCCUUCCACCCUUCCCAUUGUCACUGGUCAUUUUUCUAAUGACUCUACAUCUCUUAGCUGUGUGCUUUUUUAUUAAGCCAUGCCUGAUCCCAAGAAGUUGGUUAAUAGGGGACAGUGUGUCUAGCAUUUCCUCUCUCUUGUUCUCAGGAAGCUGUAUUGAUCUUUCCUGGGGAGCGACAGACUCCAGAGCAUGGUCAUUAUGACUCUGCAGUGAAGCUUAUCAGUUCUCUUUCCUGCCUGGGAAGCACCAUCUGCUCUUCAGUAAUUAUUCUCAUAUGCAACCAUGGAAUUGUGUUUUGGAGACCUUAAUGUGCUACGUUCCCCAGCCCCCUUAUUUAAACACUAUAACCACCACCAUCCCUAGAAAUGUUGGUUUUGAUACACCCUGAAAAUUGUGCCCUGUUGCCAUGCCUCUGCCAAGGCCCUUGCUCACAUGGGUGGCUUGCAGGUCUGUCCUCCCUCCACUGUGCUGACUCAGCUCCACUUUGGUGCUGACGCCUUGAGGAUCGUCACUCAGAGCACCCGCUAUUUCAUUAUGCCAGACCCCAGGACCAGGACAGCCACCCUAAGGUAGCUUUAGCCAUUGCCCUGCUGCUGUCCUUGCCCUGUGGCUUCCAGUGCUGCUCUCUCCCUCUGCUUUUCAUUCUUUUCUCACCUCAGCAAACCCUAAAGGGUUCUUGUGUGGUGGGAACUGGGUUUCUGUCAUUGCUUGACCAGUUGAACAAUCAAUCGCAGGACAUUCUUGAGCCUUAAUGUUCAUAUUCUCAUUCUGUUGAGGAGCCAGCGUGUGGUUGUAAAUAUCAGUGGGGCUCAGUUUGUUGUCUCUACAUGUAUCUAGCACGUCUUGCUCAAAAUCGGAUGACACAAAUAGUUUUGCUAUUCUAUGAAGCAUGGACCUAAAUUUUUCAUCAUACUUAUUGAUUGAUUGAUUGUAUGAAUGGGCACAUGUGCGUGGCAUACGCUUGAUGGUCAGACGGCAACUUGCAGAAGUCUGUUUCCCUCCUCCUGUCAUGUGAGUUCCAGGAUUGAACUCAGGUCAUCAGUCUUGGUGGCAAGCACCUCUACCCAUUGAGCCAUCUUGACAGCCCAACUUUCUUUUUUAAUUAUCAAAUAUUGUUUCCUUAUGCUAUUUUGAUAACAUGUGUAAUCACUUCAAUUAUCUUUCCUUGCACCUACUCUAUGCUGAUCCCAAAUACUCCCCUUCUACCUUUAUGUCUUGUUUUGAAUUUAGAUUCCACAUCUAAGAUAAUGCUCAUCUGUUUUUCUGAAUGUGACUUAUAUCAUUUAAAUAGCGGUUUAUAGUCCCAUCUAUUUCUUUUAGAUAACAAAAUUCCAUUUUUUAUGACUGAAUAAAAUUCUAUUGUGUGUAUAUUUGUUCAUUUAACUAUUGGCUGAUGCCUGGUCUGAUUCUAUAACUUGGGAAUAAUGCUGCAAUAACUCUGUGUAUGUGUGCGUGUGCGCGUGUGUGUGUGUGUCUGUCUGUGUCUGUUUAAAUUCCUGAAUCUUCAUACAGCACUUGAGUAACUUGCCUAUUUUAUAGCUAUAAAGAACAUACCUGCGUGUUUACUUUUCUGCCUGAUGUUUCUAGGGAUGCUAAACAUUAUUGGUGUUGUGUGUGGUUUCAGACAGUUGGUGUCUGUGAUUCCACGGGGGCUGUGGGAGCUGCUUGCUGAUGCAGACUGUGCCCCUCUAGGUUGCUGGCAUUCAAAACUUUCCCAAAAAUUUCAUUUUUUGAGGUCUGGCUGCUAUUGUUUGGUUGUUUUGUUAUUUGGAAGUAAUUUUUGUAUUUAUUGUGUUUAGACUUGAGCUAUUUAAUAGUGACAUAGUCACAUUUGUAACCUUUACUGGUGAAGAUACAGCUGGUCUAGUCUAGACUCCUGGGGAGCAUCAAGUGUCAUCUCACUUUACAUACAUUUUCAUAUGUGUCUUGUAAAAGCCCUGCCUAUUGGUGUACUUGGCUGUGUCUUAUAGUGCGUCAGCUGUCAGUUUAAGCCUCUGAUUGGGAGAAAACAUUUACACAGAUGUAUAGGAGAAAUAACUGCCUCAGGUACUCGCCAACAGAGUAGGGUGCUCAGUGGUCGGUACAUUUGUAGGAUUGAAUAGAAUGGCAUACACGAACGCUAUUUGUAGACUCUGUGUUUUAGUCAGGUGCUCACUGCCUUACAAAUGCUUGUUUUUCAUCCUGUGCACUGUUGGCAGAAAGUGGUAUGGCUGUUGAGGGAAACAGUGUGGUUGUUCGUCAAACAAAGGAAUGGAAUUACUGUACAACCCAGAAGUUUGACUUCUCGGUAUACACUGAAAAAUAGAAAGAAAAACUUGGACAGAUACUCAGGGACUGUGCUCACAGUAGCUUUGGCUGAGGUUGCCUGCAGGUGCAGCCAGCUGCAGAGCCCUUGGGUGACUCAGUGGAUAUGAUCCAGCUUUGGAAAGCAGUUCUGCUGUACGUGCUGUACAGCACACUGAUGAACCCUCAGGACAUUAUACUAAGGGGAAUAGUAAGCAGGCCACAUAAGUAUGGGAUGUUUCCAUUUUGGAAGCAGCCAUCAGGUCAGAAAGGAGGGAAGGUUGAUGGGAGACAUGUUUAGUGGUGUGGCUUGUGCUUUGCAAGGUGAAAAACUUGGUGGAGAUGGUCUCAUAAUACUCAGUACCACCAGGCUGUGUGCCUACGAGAGGGUUAAGAUGGGAAAUCAAGCAACAGCUCACACAGUUGCAGAGUGUUCUUUGGUACAAAUGGACCAUGGUGCUGGGAGGUAGAAGAGUUUCUGGGAAGCAGAUGAAACGAGGAUGGCAGACUGUGGAUAAAACUGUGUUAAAACUGGGCAAGGGUUCAGGGCCCACUGUGCUGCUCUCUUUAUUUUAAAGUUCCUGUUUGCCAUUUAAGAAGACUACUUACCUUUUCCAUGACCAAUAAUGCCUCAAGAGAGAGAGAGGAGUGAGCUGGUGUGAGCUGGAGCUGGUCUGCUCUUUAGUGCAGGAGGCUGAGGGGAGAGCAACCGUGGAGCGAGGCAGGGCAGGUUUUCUGCAGACAGCUAAUUUUGUUGUGCCCAAGUGGAACCACUCCCUCAGAUUGUCCUCUGACUUCCACAUGUGCACCGUGACAUAGGUGUGAGCCUAUACACUAAAGUGUGUGUGUGUGUGUGUGUGUGUGUGUGUGUGAGAGAGAGAGAGAGAGAGAGAGAGAGAGAGAGAGAGAGAGAGAGAGAGAGUGUGUUGGCAAAGAGGGCUGGAAAGAUGGCUCAGCAGUUAAGGGCAAGUGCUGUUCUUACAGAGGACUUGAGUUUAGUUCCCACCACCCACAUUGGACAUCUCAUAACCCUCUGUAGUUCCAGCUUUCUGGGAUCAGUUACCUCUGGCCCCAGUGGCAUUUGCAUUCAGGUGUGCAUAACCCCCAUGUAGAUAAUUAAAAAUAAAGUGAACGUUUAAAAGGCUAGCACACAAAAUAAUAUUGGCAGCUUGCUUCACUAGGGGAAUAAUAUUAUUUUCUAAAAUUACUUUUGUAUUUCCUUCUAAGUUUGUAACCAUAAAUCUAGUGAAAUAUGAGUCUAUCCUGUCUUGUCUAACAGAAAGAGGUGAGAUUUCUUUUCUUUUCACUUAGUAUUUCUUUUCACUUAAUAGACUAUAUUAAUCACAGUUCCUUUGCUAUAAUGUACAAAUUGUAUUGGCGAGAAACUUUUAGCAUCUACUAAAAUGUCAAAAUGGAAAGAAGAGAGUAUUCUGUGAAGUUUGACAAUGGACCACACAUGACCCAAGGGAAUGGUUCACCAAUGAGUGUCAGGUGUGACAGCUGGUAGCAGAGUGACCCUGGGCAGUUUUAACACGAGGAACAACACUCACAUGCAGGGACUGGCCAGCAGGGAGGACAGGGACACAAGGAGCAGUAGCAUGAAUGGUGCACUUGCUCACACACAGUCAGGCUGGAGAUGGAGAUUUGUCUAAAGGAGCUUCUUGUAGGAAUUCCUGUUUGUUCCGUGAGAGCCUGAGGAAACACCUCAGCAGGACUACAUUCUUGUGUGGCUACUUCUCUUCAGUAGUUUGCUUCUCAGGCUGAUUCGUCCAUUGUACAAAUCUGAACACUUCCUGUGUACAGAAGCUGUGCUAAAUCCUGAGAGAAGCUGAGGGGCAAGGCCAGCAGGAGCCUAUGCUUCAAGCUCAGGUCAGGAGUCACUUCCAAAGUGACAAGAGCAUUGAUACCAGAGCAGAUCCCAUGCCUGGGAACACUCAGCUGGCCCUAGUGCAGCAGUCCUGUGGGUCUUAUGUUACAGUUUAUAACAGUAGCAAAAUCACAGGAAGUAGCAGUGAAAAUAAUUUUAUGGCUGGGGUCACCACAUGCGGAUCUGUAUUAAAGAGUCUAGCAUUAGGAAGGUUGAGAACCACUGCCUUAGGGGAUAGAGGGAAACCAGAGCUAGAGAUGAAGGCACUGAAUUCAGUUCCAGGAUUGCUGGUGACAGCCCAAGUUGCCCACUCCUGUUACCUGGGUUAGGGCCUGUUUUCUUCAAAAUUGUCUUUACAUCACCCAGCCUGAUGUGUGGAUGAUGUAAGAAAAGAUACCACAUUUUGGUCUCAGGUUCCUACCUAUGUUACUCUACAUACUCCACUUAGCCACCUCCUGUCCAGCCCUUAUGUCUCAACUCAGACACCCUUCUUCCCAGUCUUCAGUCAGGACUGUGUGCACUCCGCAAGGUGCAGAAACACUGGUCCCAGAGGGGUCCAGAGAGGCAGGACAGAAGGCCAGUGGGGUCUAGACGAAGUCCUUCAGGCAUACCCUUCAGCCCUGGUACUUUGCUCCAUGCAAAGUAACAUUUCAAACCAGUGAGUGUACCUGAUGGUUCGUGCAAUGAGAGCAGAAAUCCCUAUCGGUCUCCUGUUAUAGUCAGUUUCCAGCAAACAAUUAAUGAGUGAUUGGAUGCCAUUGGAAUGUAUCAGUCAAGAAAGUGGUGAGAGAAGGGGAUUGUGGGUUGUUCCAGUGUUGGCAGCAUGUUGUACUUAUGGGUUAGGAGGGAAAUGAAAAGGGGAGGAAGGGUUGGUUGAUGUGUACAGGAGAGUUGGCCAGAGAGCCUGAGAAGGGAGUGCUUUCUGUCGCCUUGAGAUGAGGGAGAGGCUUUUCAGUAGCAGCCUGCCAUGGACAUACACUGUUCCCGUGGGUGAUGGAGCCUCAGACAGGUGCCUGUGGGUUUCUCUAAGCCUCGAAUGUAUUUGUGGUCAGAAGCAGUGCUGCAUAGCUGUAGUUAAGCUCGUCACUUGGGGUUGGAUUCUCGUAACAUCAAUGUGCCUGUGCUUCCUGCCGUCCUGUUCAGGUCUCAUCAGUACUGAUUUGGGGCAGCUAUGAGGACUGCAACGUCCACAAGGGAGCUUUCUGCAGCAUACUGUGCCAGACUCUACUAGAGGAAGAUUUUCUUCACUGGUAUUUUACCGGAGGUUUGACUCCAGUUCCGUAUUGCAUUUGUAAGGAAGGCUAGAUGUCUCAGGAUACAAGAGGGGACGUACUUGCAGAGGUGCGGGGUGCAGAGGUGCGGGGUGUGAAGGCUACUACCAUCUUUGAGAGGUCCAGCAACAGUGCAGGGUUUCUAGGUUAUUUGCAUCUCUGGGUGGAAGAUUUGCCCAGUGAUUCUCAACAAUUUUGUAGUACACACUGUGUCAUUGAAUAGCUUAAGACCUUGGAAGUAAAAAGCUAAGCCCUGUGACAUGCCCUGUGUGAACUGGAGUCAGUAGUAUAAGUGUAUGCUGGAGUUGUGCAGACUGAAGGACAUUAGAAGCAGUUAGAAGCGACCAAGUUCAAGAAGCAUGGCGGCCAGGUCAGUUACCAUCCCCCAGUCUUUGACACCCCAGCUUCUCUCUAGCUGUGCAUGAAUUCUCAUGUUUGCAGUGACUCAUAUUAGAUCUGACUGAGAGCCAGCAGUUUCUGUUCAUUUUUAAUACAAUCUGCAGAAUUUUGAAAUGCUUAGUAAAGUACCCAGGUAAAAAUUUUGCUAGAAGUAAUCAUUGUUCAUGAUAUAGAAAUUACACUCUAGAACCACAAAGUGGUCAGUGAAAGGCUGUUCUCCCAGGAUAGCAGCUUCUCAGAUAGCUGUCCAGUGUUCAUCUCUUCCCUGUCUACUCUUUUCUUCCUCUUACCUUUUGCCCCGCUUCAGAUAAGCAAAUGGCUAUGUCCAUAGCCAUGUCAGCAGCAGCAUUUGUGUACCUUCUAAUGUACCCAGGGCAUGUUUCCAUAGCAGCAGGAGAGGUGGCAACUUCUGUCUGCUUCAUUAUUGUUGGGAGUAUUUGCAUGUUAACAGUAAUGCCACCAUAUACGAUUCUGUAUAGCUUGGGUGAGCCAGUGCUUGCUUUCACGGACAAGCACACUGGUUUUUGUGUUUCUUAUUGCUCAGUAUUGUACUUUGCUUUCUCACCCUCAUACAGAUAUAUAUGUAUAGAAGUAAAAAUGUUAAAUUUUUGUUUUAACUUCAUUAGUGUCAUUAAGUAUAAAAAUAAAUAUGAUUUCAGAAUAAUGAAUGAAGUUUGAUUUUGGCUUUCUAAAACUUGGAAUUCAAUGAUACUUACUGUUGCAGCUCUUAAAAGGACAGAAAGGGAGCUUUCUAGGGAGCCUGCAACUGUGAGACUGUGCACAAGCCUGUGCGCACUCAGUUUUCUGAAGUCAAGUUGCUUCUGAUACUUUAUAUUUUACUGUCAUGUUAGAGGCUUCAUCUCAUGAUCAUUUGUUCAUUCACAUGUGUUUUUAUUUUUAGCUCUAAGCAAAAGAACAUGAGGCUGAAUUGAGGUGGCUUUGUGGUCAUCCGAUUUCUAGACGUGUGCGGUCACCUGGUCCUGAAAACCCUCCACACAGAAUGGUAAUGGCAAAAUUGGAGGGAUGGAGAGGGGGCCUCAUGCCCCUACUGCUGUCCUCCCCCAACUUUUAAGUAUGUUAAAGAAGCAGUACUUAGAAAAAGGUCUAGGCUUAAUUUCUGGGAAAGACUAAUAAGAUUCUUUGCCCAAAUACAAAAGGUGUUUUCAGCUGCCAUUAACUCAGAGAAGGGGCUCUCAGUGCCAUUUCAUAUCCUACACUUGGUAGAGUACCAUUGUAGCUUCUAAAAUCCUCUCACAGGUUUGCUGCAUGUUAGCCAAAGUUGUGAAGUUGCUUCAUAGCCGAGCUCUAAGAGGGGGCGAGUCCGUCCCAGUCUAGUGGGCCUCGCAGAAGACAGCCCUAGUUCAAGUUGUUUGUUACCCAGGAGACAGCUGCAUUUUGAAGCAAUGCCUUGUUGCUUCUCACGUUUCCUUGCUUGGAUGCUCAUCAGCAGUUGUGCGCAUCGCCUCACAUUUGUCUGUGCCAUCUCCUCUGUCCAGAACCCCAUAACCCUGCAUGUCGAGAGCGGCAAGAUUCAGACAACGUUUCCAUCCCUUCAUGUAUGUGACUUUUUUUGACGAGUGAAGCCUGCCCAUGGAGCUCUGGCCCCAUGAGAACUAAGCUCUUACCUGUGUCUCCGCUUCUCCUCACUGGCCAGCCUUGUUCUAGUUUAGACAAAAGCAGCAGUCAGUGGGUUGCUCCUAUAUGCAGGGUUACAGAUCUUUGGGAAGGGAGACCUCUGAGCUCUUGGUUUUCUAUAGUAUGAUGCUCUGGCCUUAAGUGGCAUGGUUUCUGAGCCACAGUAGAGGAGUUGGUCAUAUGGUUCAUUUUUUUCUUUAUUAACAGUGUCUUAGUAAAAAGAGGCAGAGCUGUAUAUUUCUAAAGUCACAGUUAUAGCACUUGAGAGACAUGAGCAGCAUAGUGAGUGAUGCUGUCCUAGAAAUGUGGGGUAUGGGGAAAAGUCUUACUGAGAAACAAUUACCAGCACUACUGAUGCCUGUGUAAUUGGAAAUUGUACUCUCUACCCAGGCUUAGUGCACACACUUGCAAUCCCAGCACUCCCAAGGCAGAGACAGAUCUGUCCAGGCCAUCUGGGUAUACAUAGAGUUCUAGACUAACCAGGACUACAUAACUACAUAAUGAUCUCUCUCUCUCUCUCUCUCUCUCUCUCUCUCUCUCUCUCUCUCUCUCUUUUGUUCUCACUCUCUCUCACGCACAAUCUAAUUUUUUAUUACUCAAAACAGUUUUUUAAUUUCUUUUUUAUAGAAGAGAGAAAACAAAGUAAGCACCCUUGCUGUGCUGUGGCCCCUUUUGAGGAUAGAAGGACUUUAAUGUCAAGUGCUAGAUGUUAGUACACUGGAGGACAGUCAGCUGAAAAGCAGCUUCUAAAGGUGUGUGUCAUCCAAGAAAAAGCCUGUAUCCUCAUUUACACACUUCAGUGUCUUCGCCACAGUAGUCACCUCCAGGAGAGAAAGACAGGACUACUGCUAUGUUAAAGACUUAGAAAUGUGAAUUGGUGUUGACCCAGCAAAUAUUAAACAAACAGGUGGCACAUGUGAGUGUAGUUUGAUAUUUAUUUUGCCUCAUAGAAACUGCUUUGUUUUAAAGUAAAGCUUAAAAGCUAGUGUAACUCGAGUAAAGCAUUGAUAUUGAAAUGUUUGAAAUUUAUACAAGUAAAUAGUGACCUUUUCUGAAAAAAGUGUUUUUCUUUGCCCUUGUUUAAUUUAUUUUCCCUUUUUUGUUUUUUAGGUUUGCAAUUUUUUUUGGUGAUGGCAUGUUCAGAAUCUUGGAUCCCUAAAUUGAAUGUUGGAAAUAUGUAGGAGCCUUGGAAAUUACGUUGUUUUCAUAUAUUAAUGUUUUGGUAGACUAAUAAAUGUAUGUAAAGGAACUCCAUACUUGUAAGGUGACAGGUAUGUCUCAGGGCUGUCACCUGUGUGAGUGCUGUGCUCUGGAGACAGCUCUGCUGUGGAGAUUCUCUGUGGACCUCUUGCUGUCCUGGGCAGACUGUGAGAUUCCUCCCAUGAUGCUUUGGUUAGCUGGUUUUCUUUCCUACCUACAUUGCAGUGGGAGCUCCUUAGAUCAGGAGUUAUGAAGAGAAGAAAAAGCAUCAAGUAACAAUCUUAAAUGCAGUAACCACAGAAUUUCUACCUGGGAAUCAUCUUACAAGGUCUGUAUUAGAAUAUAUAAUUUUUUAAAUCAAAUAUAUGUGUAGCGAAAUGCAGCCAGUUUUUAAAGUCAGGCAUUAUUGUAGAUCAGAGGUGUUCACAUUGAGGGAAUAAGGAUGCUCGCUUUCACCUUCUUCCUGUCUCCUCCUUGUCAGUUGAUGAGUUAGUAGGAAGGGGUUAGUGGUCUAUGUAAAGAGGAGGAGGAGAGGCUUAAAUUUCCUGAAAGGAUUAAUUUCCCUUAAAAUAAAACCAAAAACAAAAAACCCAACAAACCAAAAACUUAGAAGUUGGUUCCCUUCCCUGUGUGGGCUGCUCUCAUGUAGAAUGUGGGUGGGAGAGUCUCCAUCCAUGGACAGAUGAUGGUGGUAUCGGGUGCAGUGCAGGUUAGAGUCGCUGUAGUUACCCUUGAUGGUGUGUGGUCCUUCACUGCCUCCUGCACCUGCUGGAACUCAGAGACUUAAGGAAGCUCAGUUACUCCGUUGUCAGUGUGAAUGCCGUUCUCCUCUUACAUCCUCACUGGGGAGUACUGAUUGCAGGGACCACGGUUAGAGCAGCCUGGAACGUGAAGGGAGUGCAGGAAGCUGCAGAAACUGAACCAGAGCUCAGGAGAGCCUCCGUUGAGUUUUAUUAUUGGUGGGUUGUCCAUUGUUCCUGGAGACCUUGCUUACCUGCAGUCACCAUUAUCCUUAGAUUUCUCUUGGAGUUUUUCAGAAACUGAAGGGCUGUAAUCCUGCCAGUGGCGCCCCUUCUAGUUAAAAUCUAAUUAUAUCAUUUCCCUUCUUGCCUUUCUUCCCUCCAACCUUCUCUUCCCUUUUCAGUGGCAGAAAUGAUACUUAUUAGAUGAUACUUAUUUGCUGGGAAACACUACUUAGAUUUUAAUUGUGACAUACCAGUGUCAGUGUCAGUUGCUUCCUGAUUAUAACUGGCUUUGAAAAACUCUCCUCCUGUGGCACUGCUGUCAACAGAGGUUUCCUUUUAGCUGGUUCUAGCCACAGUAUCGAUUGGGCCUGGGGAUCUGAUAUACCCAAAAACAAAUUAGCCAGCCAGAAAAAAAUCUUUGUCCCCACCGGAAUAAAUAUUUUAAAGACCUUCUUAGAUUCUGAAAACCAUGAGUACAAAUGAAAGAGACCCAUGAAAGAGAAAACCUUAGGAGCUUGACAAAACAAAGUGCUGGUGGGUGCGACUGACCUUCACAGAGCAGCUCUAAGGGAACAGUGCCUCCUGGAGGGGAAGAGAAGGCUGGAGUGUCCUGGACACGAGGCAUUUCCUGUCGCCACAGCUAGUUUUCACAAGCAGGCCAUGGAAUUUAAGAAUAGUGAAUUAUUGUGGUAUGUUCUAAAUGUGUUUGCAGCUCAAUGGUUAAUUUAACUUCAAAUAAAUGUCUUUACGUAUUAAAGAAAAUACAUUAUCAAUAAAA